CGCGGAGUAGAGCAGUCUGGUAGCUCAGCGGGCUCAUAACCCGCAGGUCAUAGGUUCAAAUCCUAUCUCCGCCC
rnacentral:tRNA from 1 species